GAAAGAUGAAAAGAACUUUGAAAAGAGAGUUAAACAGUACGUGAAAUUGUUGAAAGGGAAACGAUUGAAGCCAGUCGUACCUUCGGGUAAUCAGCCUUUCGGGUGCGAUUCUGUGGAGUGUGAGGAGCUUAACACCUUCAUGCUUUGCAUAUUUGUGCUCUUGGGUGUACUUGCCCGUGUGGUUGGUUAACAUCAAUUUUGGUUAUCAUAAAAUGACUGGAGGAAUGUAGCUUCGAUCUCGUAUUGAAGUGUUAUA
rnacentral:rRNA from 1 species